UAGGGAAUAUUGGACAAUGGGUGAGAGCCUGAUCCAGCCAUGCCGCGUGCAGGAAGAAGGCGUUAUGCGUUGUAAACUGCUUUUUGCCAGGGGAUAAAAUGACCGUGCGCGGUUAAUUGAAGGUACCUGGUGAAUAAGCCACGGCUAACUACGUGCCAGCAGCCGCGGUAAUACGUAGGUGGCAAGCGUUGCUCGGAAUCAUUGGGCGUAAAGGGUGCGUAGGCGGUCUCUUAAGUCUGACGUGAAAGUCCAGGGCCCACCCUUGGAAGUGCGCCAGAAACUGGAAGACUAGAGUACCGGAGGGGAGAGUGGAAUUCCUGGUGUAGCGGUGAAAUGCGUAGAUAUCAGGAGGAAUACCGGUGGCGAAAGCGACUCUCUGGACGGUAACUGACGCUGAGGCACGAAAGCGUGGGGAGCAAACAGGAUUAGAUACCCAAGUAGUCCCUGAGCGGGCUGGCAAGGCGCAU
rnacentral:rRNA from 1 species